rnacentral:misc_RNA from 1 species
CACUCUACAUUCCCUUCUCUCUUUCUUUGAGUUUGUCCUUCUUUCUCUCUUAUCCUGUCACUGCAGUGUUUAUAUUUACACUCGCGGUCGGCGAUUAGUAAACUAAGUUGACAGAAAAAAAUGGAGGAUUCCAAUGAGGUGCUAGUCUGUGCAGCAGAGUUUUUGAAGGAUCGGUUAUACUUUGUCACACUGAGGACAACAGUGAAGCCUCGAAGCACCUCUAACACCCAUUACUUCAGUAUUGACGAUGAGCUCAUCUAUGAGAACUUCUAUGCUGAUUUUGGACCCUUGAAUCUUGCAAUGCUUCAUCGUUAUUGUCAGAAAGUGAACAAGAAACUGAAGGCGGUCACUCUGAGCAAGAAGAAAAUUGUCCACUACACUGUGAUGGACCCUCAGAAGCGUGUAAACGCUGCAUUUCUUAUCGCUAGCUAUGUGAUAAUCUAUUGGAAACGUAGUGCCGAAGAAGCCUAUGAUAUUUUGAUAGCCAGCCCAACAAGUCCACCACUCAUAAUGUUUCGAGAUGCCUCUCUGGGUCCACCGUGCUACCAGAUAUCAUUAAAAGAAUGCCUCCGUGCCAUCCACAAGUGCUAUUCUUUGGGAUUUUUCAAUUUUCGUGAUUUUCACCGUGAAGAGUAUGAAUACUUUGAGCGCGUGGAAAACGGCGACAUGAAUUGGAUAGUUCCAGGAAAAUUUAUUGCAUUUUGCGGACCCCAUGCUAAAUCGAAAAUUGAAAAUGGGUAUCCCCUACAUGCUCCGGAAUCUUACUUUGCAUACUUUCGCCGUAACAAUGUUUCGACGAUAGUUCGGCUUAAUAAGAAAAUUUACGAAGCCUCUAGAUUUGUCGAAGCUGGCUUUGAACACAAGGAGUUGUUCUUCAUAGAUGGUUCGACGCCCACUAAUUCUAUAAUGCAACAGUUUCUGAAAAUAGCUGAAACUGCACCUGGUGCUGUCGCGGUACAUUGCAAAGCUGGCCUUGGUAGAACAGGAUCCCUUAUCGGCUGUUAUAUCAUGAAACAUUACCAUCUUACAGCUCGGGAAACCAUUGCAUGGAUCAGAAUAUGUAGACCUGGUUCGGUAAUCGGCCACCAACAACACUGGCUCGAGGAAAAAGAAGCUUACCUUCAUUCCUUACUGAAGGUACCGCUGCGUCCUGAGAACGGAAAUCCCGUGCAUCAGUUUGGGAUAUAUUCAGUGGCUGGAAGACCCGGUGGAUUGUCCUUAUCUGGUCUGCGAAAUUCUCGUUUAGUUCAAGACAAUGUCUCAGGGAUCAUGCACCGUGUCGAUGGUAUAAAACUUGACGAUCCUGGGCCGCUUCCAGGCAUUGUAGUACCAAAAAUCUCAGUGUUAACUCAAGGCGAUAAGUUGAAUCAGAUAAAAGCAUCACGACGCAGCAUCAUACCUUCUUGUCAAUCGUCUCUGGGCGGUAUAUCGAGCCCUUCGACUGUUGCACAUCCUUACCUGGGACCUUUGCUUCAAACAAGGAGUCAGAAAGGAACCGCCAGCUUGGCUAGUAACAAGGACAAAGAAGUACCUAAACGACUCCUCGGCCGUGCAGCUACUACAACGAUUGUAAAGAGAAAUAGUUGGCUGGUCACUAACAACUGCGAAUCAAGUGUGCGCCGUAUCAAUUCCAAAGCAACAACACAGAUUCGUAGUAUGAACAACAAUCGCAAUCACAUCAACAACAACAACAACAACAACAACAAUAGCAACAAUGUCAACAACGAUGUGGAUUCAACGAGUCCGGUAACUUCCAGUUCUGUAUCAAAGCCAGUUACAAGGUCCAGUGUCAGAGCUUCGUGUGUUACCGAAGCUCGCACUGCUGUUGCAACUACAAACCGCGCAGCUCUGCAGCCCCAACCGGGCAUGAAUAUGAUUCUGCGAUCAGCAGAUCGUGUCACACGAUAUCAUUCACUGAGACAAGAUGUCAGAGACGAUAGGGUGGCCAUCCGUAUAUCUCACCGACGUAGGAGAUCUUGCCGCCUAAAUCCCAUCGCUCAGUGAGAUAAGCAUCACCACGUCGACAAUGUAGCCGAGGUUCAAGCAUUGAAGCAAAGAACGCGGAUCUCAUGGUGCCGAAAUGCGAAUAUCCUUGCCAACAAGGAGAGGGAGAAAGAGAGAUAAGCAGAUACAUAUAGAUGGUGGAAAGCGUUAACUUUACGGUGAAACGACAUUAUUCUACAAAUGUACAAGCCCAGAUUCACAACGCAAGCUACGAGUGCACGAACAACCGAAAAUAUGAGCUGACUGACACAUUCGUCUUUGUAAAUGGCUAUGUAUUUUGUACAUACUUACAAGGAAUCAACCAAUAGUUUCAUCCUUGGUGUAACAUUGAAAAAGUCUUUCUGUAGAGAAAUGUACAAGUACUAUCAUAAUUACAGUUAAACAAAUUAACAGUAGGUUUGAUACAUUAACACUUUCUAAACGCAGUAAAGUUUAUCGAUUUUAUAGUAACAUAAAGACUUAUUGUACUAAUGUAGGUUUACGCUUUUAUUUUUUUUUCACUCUUUACGUAUAUGUAACAUUUUUAAGAAUUUUGUCAAUGAUUUUAAAAUUAAUUAAAAACUGGAAACUUACUUCGUUGCUUGACAUACUACGAUCUUUUCUCUGGUCAGAUGCAAAUGUUAAAUCAGUCGUAUUAUCAUUUUAUUCUCGAUGUAGACAUAGUUUGCAAUAUAGCAAUCAGGUGUAAGCUACGGCAUCGUACAGAUAUUGGACAUAGAGAAGGAUCUACUUACUGACAUCUUUCACCAGUAGCAGUGCGCUGACCUGAUUUGAAAUUAUCCUUCGUUUCAAUUUGAAUUCAAUGUAUUUUCCUAUUGCGGAAGAUGAUCGAAAUAUAACAAAGAUAGUUUAAAAUGACUGGACCCCAUUAAUGCAGCACUACAUCAAAAUAUGUUCUGCAACAGUAUCAUUGCAUCAUGGUCAGUACGAAGUUUAUAUUAUAGAAAACAUGUAGGAUACAAAACCAUAAAUUUUAUCAAUCCCAAUAGUUGCAUCGUGAGAAACUGAUAAAUUUCAAAAAUAUUCGAUUUCGAGUAGGUUUUUUUUUUUAGUAUUACAUUUCAUUUUAACCCGGUACCAACGUUUUCAUUUCACGUCGUACCACUUUCUUAUGCAUAAGUACAAAGCACCCAAAUUUAUUGGAACUCGAAAUUUAAGUCACGGUUAUCAUUCGCCUGCUGUAUUAUUAUCCAUAACAUUCGAAACAUGUAUUUUUCUAUCAAUUAGGUAUCACAUUGCAGUGGAUUCUUUGUAGAGAUAUAUCAAUUUAUUUCUGCAAGGAAUAAUUGAAAGGAUACGUCACAUGACAUUGGAUGAUAUAAGAUAUCAAUGCAUUAGCUUAGAAUAAAUAUUUUUUUUUUUUGUCAAAGCGUAAAAAUUUAUUUAAGAGUAUAAAAUACAAGCUGUCUAUAGGAUAGAGUACGACUAUUUUAGAAAAUAUAAAAUCCCAGGUCGGUGUCAACUUCACAAAUAUUUUAUCAAUGUCGUGUUGUUCGCGCAGCUGUAAUAUUUACAGAAACAGCGUUAACUUAUGAAUAACGAUAAGAUAUUUGUAAUUACAAAUAUGAAUAAAUCAUUGCAAUGGUUAUUUUCCUGAAA